rnacentral:rRNA from 1 species
UGAUAUGACCAUAUCCUGAAUGCAUCAGAUUCCAUCUGGUCUUGGAAGAUAAAUAGGAUCACACUUGGUAAGUACUAGGAUGGGGGACUAUAAAAGAAUAUCAUAUAUAUAUAUUUG